rnacentral:rRNA from 1 species
UACGUAGGGGGCUAGCGUUGUCCGGAAUCAUUGGGCGUAAAGCGCGUGUAGGCGGUCCGGUAAGUCCGCUGUGAAAGUCGGGGGCUCAACCCUCGAAUGCCGGUGGAUACUGUCGGGCUUGAGUACGGAAGAGGCGAGUGGAAUUCCUGGUGUAGCGGUGAAAUGCGCAGAUAUCAGGAGGAACACCAAUUGCGAAGGCAGCUCGCUGGGACGUUACUGACGCUGAGACGCGAAAGCGUGGG